GAGGUCAAGGAUGGUGAUUCCUUCUGAUGCUCUUUUAUUGUUCUUGAAUGCCUUCAAUAUUCUGCAUUUCCAUAUAAAGUUUAGGAUUGCUCUUUCAAGUUCUGCAAAAAAAUUAUUGGCAUUGUGAUGUGGACUGCACUGAAUUCAUAGGUUACUUCUGGGAAUUCCCUUUACAGAAGGAUAUAUAACAGUCCAAAAGAGGCAAACAAAUAUACUGGCAUGGAUAUUUAUACUGCAAAAAAGUGCUCACCUAUAAAUGGAGAGAUCAUGUGAUAUUGUGGAGAAGGAUCAUUUCCAGUGACACUGCAGAAUGAGAAUUGUGAAUUUUGAAGUCAACACUGUGAUUAUGUGGGUGUGGCGAAUUGAAGCCAGUUAUGCUUAAAGGAUAACAACUCCUUUAACAACUGAGAGACCUCUCUUAAAAGGUAAUAAAAGCAGAGGUAGAGUAAACUUUUUACUUCCA